rnacentral:tRNA from 1 species
AAAGAGUUAGUUAAAAUAAAACAAUUAUUUGUCAAGUAAAAAUUACAUGAAAAUGUACUCUUUG